rnacentral:misc_RNA from 1 species
UUGCGUCGCGUCGACGAAGUCGC